ensembl:lncRNA
AUCACACUCUGGUCACCACAGCGAUGGCUUCACCGUGGAAACGCUGCUGCUGCUGCUUCCUCGUCCUCCUUCAUCUGCAGUCGUCGGCCUGCCUCCACCAACAACCUGCAGACAGUUCCAGCCAUGCUGCUGUGUUUCUGGUAACCUGGACUGUCUUCAUCAUUUACAUACAGUUCUGUGAAAUGAUUCAUUUUAUUUGGAAAACAGAUGAACAAGCUGAUCUGUUGUCACCAUUUACAGUCUAAGUAGGUGUCUACAGAGCGUUAUUAUCAUCCUGAUGUAUUUGUGUUUGUGUCGACCUCAAUAAUCUAUACCUGAUGUUCACUUGGCUUUUAGUUCCACCUGAGAAAAUGCUACCUGCUAGAAACAAUGCAUGUGAGUGGACACUUCGCCAAAAAAUCUAAACUAAAACCCGAAAGAGGUUAAAAGUGGAUGAGAAUUCCAUGUAGACCUGUUAAACCAGAGUUAACAAAAGACUGAACAGUACACCUGUAUUUGCUGGCCUCACGAUUUGCAUCCACUGAACAGUUGGUACUAUUUUUUUUCUUGAAACUUUGUAGAAAUACUUGCAUUUUAUUGAAAACCAAGCGAUGGAUGGCAAAAGAGACAGCAGCAGUUGAUUAUUUUGACCACUGAAUGUGUUGACAUUUUAGUGUUUACUGCUACACGCUCUGAGAAUUGUUGCUCAUAUAUUUCAACUACUUUCAUUUUUGAUCACUGUCUAAUCCAUUUUUUAGUUAAAUUUAAAUUUCCUUGAACACUGGAACCAACAAACAACAACAAGAACAAUGAACAAAACACAAAGUGCUGCAACAUGUCACUAAUAUUUGCACUAGGCUAGUUGUUGUCAGAGGAACUGUCACCAGUGAAAAUUAUAUUAAAUUAUCGUGGUUGAAAUGUCAGUGCUGAGCACAGUUACAUGCACUAUUUUUUUCUUUGGUAUUGCUAAUGUAACUCACUGGAUUGCAAAGAAUGUGGAAUCUGCUCUGAAAUGCAAAGAAAAAUAUUGCACCUGCUACUAAAAAUGGAUGCUGUUACAUGAUUUUUUUUUUUGAUUUGAUGAUUCUGAGAUCCACAAAUAUUCUUUUUUCUCUUUAAACAUCUCAAAACAUUUUAAAUGAAAAUAAAAUGCAUUUGAUUGACAGCAAUUCUACCGAAUCAAAUCAAGUUGUACAACAGAUGUGUAUACUCUACAACAUGUGGGAUCCUAAUCUUCUCUGUAAGAUUUUGCAGCUACUGUUUUUGAUUCGAAGGCCAUAUGGAGGAUUGUGCUAUUGUCAUACCAGAGGUGCACUUACUCACAAUCCUCCAUUUUCAGUGUAAAUCAAAAGGAAGAAAAAGGCCAUUAUCCAAAGAUCAUCAUUGAAUACAAAAGAUAAAAUGAGUUAAAUUGCCAUUUACAAAACCUAAGAUGAGGAGUCCAGGUUUUGUCACCUCCUCAGGUCCUCAGUCUUGCAGUCUGAACCCAGUUACCUCUCUGCUACACCCACCUCACCUGCUCCCGUUCUCCCUACCAGCUCAACUUCAUAUACUCCAGCCAUCGUACCUUUGUUUGCUGCCUCACUCCUGUAAACAUCAGAAGUGCUGGGAUUCUCUGAUCUUACUAUAUAAAGUACUCUGAGAUGACUUGAAUUGGAUCCUGGUUCCUGCAAUAAUAUUUGUUUAUGUUGUCUGUUCUCUGCCUGUCUUUCUACCAACCUGUCAGACUAUUUUUACCUGUCUGCUGGGUGAGUCUGCACUCAGGUCCUCCUCUCUGCUUUUGUGACACAACUAAAUCCAAUCAAAGAGCCCACAAAAUAGCAAAUUUAGCAUCCCUACAGUGCUUACCUGUAUGUUCGAGAUUUGAAUUGAUGUUUUUAAUGAUUGCCUGUCUGCCUCGAUGCAGCUUUUAAUUAUCUGUCAGACCUCUGCUAGCACUGUGCCUAUGAAGAGCAUUCAAGUCUUUAAUGAAAAAUAAGUGAUUGCAUAGAUUUUCACCACCUUUCAGUCAGUUAGUGCUAGAAGUCUCAAAGUUAGUGAAAUGGAAUUCAUCUGAGUGCAGUGAAUGUGGCCCAAGUGAUUGCAGUAUAAAGACAGCUGUACAUGGAAGGUCCAGUCACUGAUAAAUCAGUACUUCUCACUAUGACUACAUCAUGAAAACAACCCCUCCAAGCAACUCUGUGAAAAGAUUAUUGCAAAUCAAAAGUCAAGAGAUGGAGAAAAGAAAAUUUCCAGGUCACCAAAUAUUCCUUAGAGUACAGUUAAACCCAUAAUUUAGAAAUAGAAGGAAUAUGGCACAUGUGUAAAUGUGCCUAAAGCAGGUCGUCCUCAAAAACUGAGUGACUGAACAAGAAAGAAGCGAGUGCAGGAGGCCACCAAGACACCUGUGACUCUUCUGAAGGAGUUACAAGCUUCAGUGGCUGAUGUGAGAGACUGUGUAUACAGCAACUGUUGUCUCUUUUUCAACAGUCAAAGAUUUAUGGAUGAGUGACAAAGCAAAAAUCACCAAGAUCAUAUAAAAUCUGGGCUAGAGGUCUCCAGAAGGCAUAUGAGAGACUCUUAAAUCAACAGGAAGAACGUUCGUUGGCCUGAUGAUGAUGACCAAAACUGAGCUUUUUAGGCAUCAGACUAGACUCAUCAUUUGGUAGACACCAAACACUACACAUCAUCACAAACACAACAUCCCCACCAUGAAGCACGGUGGUGGCAGCAUCAUGAUGUGGGCAUACUUCCCAGCAGCAGACCCUGGAAGGCUUGUAAAGGUAGAGAGUAAAAUGAAUGCAGCAAAGUGUAGGGAAACCUGAUUCAGUCUGCAAGAGAACUGUGACUUAGGAAGGAGAAGGUCUGUUUUCGACAAGACAAUGACCUGAAGCAUACAGAUAAACUACAUAGAAAUGCUUUAAAGACAACAAGGGGAAUGGUUUGGAGUCAAUUCAACUGAGAAUCUGUGGCUGGACUUUAAAAGGGUUGCUCACUCCUGAUCCCUGUGAUACCUGACAGAGCUUGAACAGUUUUGCAAAGAAGAAUUAAGUAAAUAUGCAGCAUCCAGACUCAGAUUCAGGUUGAUUUAUGUCUAUACACACAGGCACGAUGCUGGACUUGCCCCUAAGGGUGCAUCUACUAAAUACUGACUUGAAGGGGGUGAAUAUUUAUGCAAUGGCAUAUUUUGCUCCUUUUUUAAUGUUUUAAUUAAUUGAUAUUACUUUGUAGAACUCUGUUUUCAGUUUAACAUGAAUCAAUUGAACAACCUGCUUUAUGAGAUCAGACAGGCAGCUGUUUUUUUUAAAUAUCUGUUCAAACCCAACUUUUCAGAGUUAUUUCUGUUUUUACUCUGCUUUUAUUAAUUUAUGUCUGAUUGUUACUAUUUUCUUUCUAGUGAAAUUGCAGGCGUUGGAAGUCUAGAUUUGAAGUCUAACUAGGUUUGAGCAAAAUUGUACAGCGUUUCUGUUUUCGUUCUGCAAUAGAGAUCUCCGAAAGGAUGAUGAUGUUGCUGUGUCUGCUGGAUGUGUACAUUACACAGGCGACUGUUUGUGGUGUGAGUGUGUGUGUGUGUGUGUGUGUGUGUG